rnacentral:tRNA from 1 species
ACGGAAAUCGCAUAGCGGCGAUUGCAUCGGCCUCCAAAGCCGACGACGCAAGUCCACCCUAGGUUCGAGUCCUAGUUUCCGUGCCA